rnacentral:misc_RNA from 1 species
GCUGCCAGAACCGAUCACGAUCAGGUCGUAGUCGUAGCUGACCGUCCCGUCCGAGGAAGGAGACUCGCCUCCGAGGCGCAGGAUCCGCUCGACGCGGUAGCGCGUGCCGGCGAGCGCCUCCUCGAGCGCGGUCUGGUCCACGUCUCCCUCCGACACGGUCGCGCUGCCGCGCCGCCAGUCGACUGAGGCCUGGUUGGCUCCCGCCCGCUUCAGUGCGGCGCCGACGUGACGAGCGCAGGUGUCGCACGUCAUUCCCUUGAUCUCGAGCUCUAGUCCAGCCAUCUUUCUCCUUGGUUUGUAUCAGUCUAAUCUGAUAUUCGAUACGGU